CCGCACGCCCCUGAGGCAGGUGAGGACCCGGGUUCGCGUCCCGCCGCCGCCGAGCCCGGCUCCCGGGGCUCACGUUGGUUCUUUGGCCGCUCCACACGCCCAGGUCUCCUCCCGGCUCCUCGGACUCUGCGAGCCAUGGAGGUCCCAGUGGGGCCAUCUGCCACCGAGGAGUCCUGCCCUCCUGAGACAUCUGCGUCUGCUCCCGAGUUGCUGCCGUCACUGAGAAACGUGGUCCAGAUCACUGUGGUGAAGGCUCAGGACCUGAGAAGUAUCAGAGGUGACACGUCGAUCACGCUGGUUCGUGUGGAGUACAACGGAGUGAUCCUGGGGGACUCCUCCAAGACUGAUGUCUCACCAAAUGGGGUGGCAAACUAUAACUUCACGGCCAGCUUUGAGUACAGCACUGAUGGGCCCAACUCUUGGGUCAGCAUCGCACAAAAACCUGUACUUUUGACAGUGAUAGAAGUGUUGCAGAAGGAGAAGAAGCAGAAGGAGGAGAAGACCGUGCCACUCGGCCAAGCUGUGCUGGACCUUCUACCUCUGCUACAAGGACAGUGUUCAUUUACGGUCUUGGCUCCUUUGUAUGCAGUGUCUACCUCUCCAUCAGAAAGCCUUCACCCGGAGGCCAAGUGUGCUCUUGAAGUGUCUGUGUGCACCAAAAAGCCCCUGCUUUCUGCAAGUCAGCUGUCAGAUGGUAACUUCCUGAGUGUCACGCUGGAGGCAGCUUAUUCUGUCCCUGAAGCAUUUGUUCCCACUGGACCAUCGCACAACUACAUGGCUUGCUUGCAAGUACCAGCAGUUGGGAAGAAAGAAGUCCCCUUGCUCUUCAUGAAUGGCAUCCUGAAGCUUGGUGGUGAAAAAGAACCAUUACCCCGACCCAAAAAAUGGUCUCUUACUAAUAUCCUGGCCCCUGGUGCUCUGAACAUACCCAACUCCUUCAUUCUUGGUGGUCCCUAUGAGGAUGAGGAUGGAGAGCUCAACAAGACAAAGGACAGGAAGUUUAGGAUCCAGGCAGAAAGCACGAAGAGAAUCGUAUGGGACACAGAAAGACGCUGUUACCUGGAUCCUGCUGCAGUACUCGUCCUGAAGAAGCGCAUCGCAGAGUGCCAGUACUGGCCUGUGGAGGUCUGCAGGAUGCCAGUGACCUCGUCCAGCAAAGGGAAAACCAGCAAAGCUGACAAGGGAGAUGAGGACAGGCAGAUUUUCUUCCACGGUGUGGCAUAUGUCAACAUGAUGCCUUUGCUGUGCCCUGGCGUGAAGCGGAUCCGAGGAGCUUUUCGUGUCUCUGCCUACCAGGACAGUGAGGUGCUUGAGAAGACUAAAAGACAGCAGAGCGUUCUGCGGGAUCUCCGUCCACAGAUCAGUCUGAUUAAAGAAGGAUCAGAGACCCCAGGAACCAGUUCAUCUCUUUCCAGAGCUGUUCCCAGUAAGGCCCAGAGGGAAGAUAAGGAGAAGAUGACCAGAGAACAGGAAUUCAACAGAAGGACAUCCAAUGCACCAAAAAUCCAGUCGUCGGAUGUUGCUGAAAAAGCUGCAAGUGUCACAUCUCUCAGCCUUGAUGGAAAGCAAUAUGUUGAAGCAGGAACAUUCCUGGUGAUGGAGAUAAAGCUGGACAAGGCUUUGGUACCCAAACGACUGCAAGAGGAGCUCACCAAAAGGGUCAAGGAGAUGAUUCCCCCUCGCCCUCCGCUGCCUCCCCGGACUGAAGGAGCCAAGAAGGCUGUGGAAGAUUAUCACAAGCACAUCGCAAGCAUUGCUGUUGCCAUCCUAAGUGAAUAUCACGAGCUGUUUGGAAAGCAGCCGCCAGACCAAGGAGCAACAGACCAUCAAACCCUGGAGGAACAGAGGCGUCAGCUCAAUUUUGAGCUCAACAGCUCUGGGAAAUAUUUUGCUUUUAAGGAACAGCUAAAGUAUGCUGUAGUGAAGAUUGUGAGGGAAAAAUACCUGAAGACCACAGCAUUUGAGACCCAGGAGCAGUUCCAAGCAUUUCUCAGUGAGCUGUAUGUGUACCUUGUGGAUCAGAUGCACAUUGCCCUGAACCAGCUACUGUAUGAAGAAGCUUCUUCUCCUGCCCCUCGAAUCCACUUGACUGAUGAGCAGCUCUGGCUCUUUGCUCGUGAAGCUGAAGACAACAAGGACUACAAGCUGGCAUCGCUCUACCACCAGCAGAGGAUAGCUCAGGACCAGCACAACAUCCAGUACUGGCUGGACUACGGGGCAUUCUGCCUCCUGCUAGAGGACACCCUCAAAGCCCAGGAGUGCUUCCGGGAGGCUCUUUCUCUGAACCCACAUCAUGUGAGAAGCCUGCUGCUCUGUGGGAUCGUGGCAGUCAUGCUGCAGCACUAUGAAGAGGCAGAGAUUUUCUUUGAGGAUGCUUGCUGCUUGGAGCCAUCCAAUGUUGUAGCGUGGACGCUUUCAGGUUUGUUCUGUGAGCUGCAGAAUAAUUAUAUUCAGGCAGAAAUGGCCUUCCGUGAAGCCAAGAAGAAACUCCAAGCACAGCAGGCCAGGGAAAGAAGCAUCUCUGGGGAAGGGAGAAAGCAAAUCAGUGCCACAUCUGUGAGGUCUUCCAGUCAAAGCCCAGAACAGCUCUUGCCAGAGGGGGUUCCAGAUGGCUCAGCCAACGAGCUGCCAGAGAUGGGAGAGGAGCCUGCCUUUGCUUCUAUGGCACCUGAGGAAGAGGCUUCAGCAUCAGAGACAGCCUCAGAAGAUCCAUCCCCUGUUUCAGGACACGGGGAACCUCCCUGCACAAUCUUCAUGAAGGCAGUGGAAUUCCUGAUGAAAUUCAAUGCCAUCCAGUUGGUUCGCAUGGCCCUUGCCCACGAGCUGCUGAGCCAGCAGGGAGGCCCUUCCAGUGCUUACUACCUGGCAUUGGCCCGGACAUGCUUGCUGAAGGAAGAGUUCUCCAAAUGUGAAGAAUGUCUCUGUGAAGCCAUCAGGAUUGACUUCCUGAAUCCCGAUGUCUGGGCUCAGAAGGGACACCUGAGCUACCUGAGGAGAGACUUGCAGGAGGCAAAGGAGUGCUAUGAGCGAACGGUCAAUUUUGUGGAGGAUGCUGCAGACAUGCAUUUUGUCUACCUGCACCUGGGCUCCAUCUACCUGGAAGACAAAGAGUAUGGCAAGGCGAAACAGAUCUACCUGCAAGCCUGCAAGAGCUCUGCAUCCUGUCUCACCUGGCUGGGAGUGGGGAUUGCCUGCUAUAGGCUGGAAGAGAUGGUGGAAGCAGAGGAUGCUCUCUCUGAAGCCAAUGCCCUAAAUAACAGCAAUGCUGAAGUGUGGGCUUACCUGGCCCUUGUCUGCUUGCAGGUGAGUGCCCAGCCAGCUCCUCAAGGGAGCCUGAAGAACACUGUGUCCAUCCCAGGGCUACAAAUGGUUGGGAGAGCAAUCACUGCAGUGCUCAGGUGGCACAAGCAGCGCCAUCAGUGUUUGCUGGGACCUCCCUGAGCCCAUUCCUUGCCCCUUCCCCUCUCUGCUGUGUUGCAGGGAGGGCGGCAGCUGGAGGCAGAGCAGUGCUACAAAUACGCCACCAAGCUCGGCUUGGACGACUCGACCCUGCUGCAGGAGCUCCACGCCGCCCAGCAGCGCUUCGGCUUCGGCG